AAGAUAAUACUUUCAAGAAUCAAGAUUGUUCUAUAUAGCCCAUUACUAAAGGAGUUUCUCUGAACUUGUAGAGUGCUGCAGGCCAUGAGGAGGAGGGUCAGUGUUGUCUCCUGAGCAUGAAGCAGGCUCUUGUUGCUUUACUGCAACCACCAUGUACCACUGAUGACCAUUCUUCUCUUCCUCCAGGAGAGUAAGAGGGAAAGGAUGGAGUCUAAGUGGU
ensembl:snoRNA U3 Small nucleolar RNA U3